GUGCCAGCAGCCGCGGUAAUACGGAGGGUGCAAGCGUUAAUCGGAAUUACUGGGCGUAAAGCGCACGCAGGCGGUUUGUUAAGUCAGAUGUGAAAUCCCCGGGCUCAACCUGGGAACUGCAUCUGAUACUGGCAAGCUUGAGUCUCGUAGAGGGGGGUAGAAUUCCAGGUGUAGCGGUGAAAUGCGUAGAGAUCUGGAGGAAUACCGGUGGCGAAGGCGGCCCCCUGGACGAAGACUGACGCUCAGGUGCGAAAGCGUGGGGAGCAAACAGG
rnacentral:rRNA from 1 species